UUAAAAGACACAACAUCUUAAAAAAAUUUUAUUAGAGAAUUAUAAUUAUACAUAGAAUUUGGGUUCAUUUUAAGAAAAUAUACAUGCAAGGGAUUUUAUUUCAAUACCCAUCUCCCCUUCCCUCACAUCCAACCCCCAUUAUCUCACCUCUAAUCUAUUAAACUUUCUCUAUUAUACAUAUACACGAAGGUGAAAUUCCCUUUGAUGCCUUUUUAUAUGAAUAUAACAUGAUUUUGUUAAUUUCAUUCCAUUUCUCUUCCCCUCUUCCUCCCUCUUUCUCAUUCUCCUUCUGCCCUACAGACCUUCCCUAUAUCUUUAUGAUAUCUGAUUCCUCCCCCUCCUACCUUUUUUCCCUUAUUUAGCUCUAGCUUCCACAUAUGAGCAAAGCAUGCACCCUUGAUUUUCUAAGUCUGGUUUAUUUCACUUAGCAUGAUUUUCUCCAUUUCCAUCCACUUACUGGCAAAUGCCAUUAUUUCAUUCUUUAUGAUGAAUAAAGCUCCAUUGUGCAUAAAUAUCACAUUUUGCUUGAUUCAUUCAUCUAUUGAUGAUCAUUGGGGUUGGUUCCAUAUUUUGACUGCUGUGAAUUGUGCUGCUGUAUACACUGCAGUGGCUGUACUGCUACAGUAUGCUGAGUUUAGUUGUUUUGGAUAAACACUGGGGAGUGGGAUAGCUAGGUCAUGUGGUGUCUCCACUCCUAGUUUUGUGUGGACUCUCCACACUGCUUUCCAAGGUG
rnacentral:lncRNA from 1 species